UUGAAUUUGAAGUGUUUUCGCCUUUUGGGUUAUUAUUACAAAACCAGUGACGAGAUGGAUGAUGACAUUGACCAAGACGUCCCUCAGUUAUUAAAGCAGUGGGGUUUACCCCAAUAUAUUCAUACUUUUCAAGGACACCCAGAGUCAGCUCAGCUUCAAAACAUGCGAAAAGGAUAACUAGUCAAUAGGCUUGUUUUAUACAAUCUAGGUUCCCAAGCCAAGUAUUCGAUUCCCCUAGACCAGAAAAUUAUGCCUUAGGCGUUGGGACUUUCUUGUCCGUUGAAAAAUCUACUCUUAAAAUCGAAUGAAGGACAAGGCCUGCUAAAUUUAUAUUCAGAACAAGGCAAAUUAUCAAAUAAUGGGCGAAGAAAAGUUUGCAAUAUAAUAAUAAAAGACCUAAUGCAAUCAGACCCAAAUAAAAGAAUAGACAGUUCUCUACUUCUUACAAAAGCACAAGAAAUAACUGAAGUAUUCAAAAAGGAAAAUAUAAGUACUUACUUUAUUCCAUACAUUAAUGAUACUAAACUUAAAAUAAAAAGAUGUGCAAAAGGCAAAUUAUAUGACUGUCUACAAAACAGGCGCCGCGAAUUAAGGGAGGCUAAGGUUAUUAAAAGAAAAAUGGCAGCAACAUCAACAAUAACAGCAACGAGCCAGAAGUCGUCGAAGAAGAUGGUGGUGCAGAUGAAGAUAUCCAGUGGCUCCAAAACUGUACAGAACCCUGGCAUUUAGUGAUAGAGAAGUGGCAAAAAACUUCCAAAAAUAGAUUGAAGGAAAUAGAGACUUCAGAAAUGACCAUCGGAGCAUACAUUAAUAAAUAUCCAGUGUUAAAAACGCCACGGGGGCAUGAGCUUCUUAUUGAAGAUUUAAGAAGGGCCCUAUUAGAGCCUGUUCACACUAGCAUUAAUAUCGCCGCGAGCACGCGGCGAGCAAGCUGCGAUAUCACACACAUAUAAAGUUUGCUCGCGGCGAUAUUAUUGCGAUAAAAUAAUCGCCGCGAUACCGCGACGACCCGCGGCGAGCUCGUUGCGUGCACGCCGCGAUCUCGCAUCGCCGAAAAGAAUCGCUAGUGUGAACAGGCUCUAAUAGGGCCCCAUACUUUACAAGUUGAAUGUAGAAAUGAUAAGUAUAAGGGACGUCGACGCUGAAAAGACGCCUGAACGGGUAGCAUGAUCGCGCGAAAAGUGAUAAAACAUCUCCCUAUCGCACUAUUAGUAAGUGCGAUAGGGACGGAUGUUUUAUCGCGCGAUCAUGCUACCAAUCAGAUGUGAGGGGCCGUAAUGUGUAAGUGUAAUUUCUACGGACCAAUGAUUGUGAUGAUUAUAUUAAAAUAAAUGUCAUUUUUCUCUGUACGUAAUAUUUUUUAUUUUUGAUUCCAGGGAUCCUAAACAUAUAGAGCCGUAGCGCGUGGGACGUCGUAAAAAAUGCCGAUAAUCUCAAAUUCUAUGAUUCUAAUCUA